GGAGGGGUGGCAGAGCGGUUGAAUGCGGCGGUCUUGAAAACCGUUAAGGGUGAAAUUCCCUUCGUGGGUUCGAAUCCCACCUCCUCCGCCA
rnacentral:tRNA from 1 species